ensembl:snRNA U2 U2 spliceosomal RNA
AUUGCUUCUUGGCCUUUUGGCUAAAUCAGAUGUAGUCUCUGUUCUUAUCAGCUUAAUAUCUGAUAGGUCCUUUAUCUAAUGAUAAUAUGUAAAUCGAUUUUUGGAGCAAGGAGGUGGAAUAGUAGCUUGCUCCAUCCACUCCCACCCAUCAAACUGGUGAGUCUCUCCAGGAAUGAUGCUUUUAAA